rnacentral:lncRNA from 1 species
AACCUGGUACUCACUGAUUCCAGAAGAAUUGUUAGUUGUCAUUGGAUCGUUGUCUAGCAUUACAGGAGUGAAAUGAGGGAGGAAGCCUAGAGCAAUCCUGGAAUAUCAGGGAUGCAGGAAAAACAGCCUUUAAUACCAUAUUUGGAGUUCAUUGGCGUAGACAUCCCUGAUCAUUGAACUGCUUCAAUCAGUAAGUUCUUUUCUCUGUGAGGAUGCUGUGAAUAUGAGCAUUUUGUGACAGGAGGUUUGGUUCUG